rnacentral:rRNA from 1 species
UACGUAGGGGGCUAGCGUUGUCCGGAUUUAUUGGGCGUAAAGAGCGUGUAGGCGGCCAGGUAGGUCUGCUGUGAAAACUCGAGGCUCAACCUCGAGACGUCGGCGGAAACCAUCUGGCUAGAGUCCGGAAGAGGAGAGUGGAAUUCCUGGUGUAGCGGUGAAAUGCGCAGAUAUCAGGAAGAACACCCGUGGCGAAGGCGGCUCUCUGGGCCGGUCCUGACGCUGAGACGCGAAGGCGUGGGGAGCGAACGGG